UAAAGGAUUUUAGAAUACCAUCCCCCAUUUUCUAUACUUUCAUAGUUGUUCUGCCUUCCCUGGAAUGUUGGGAAUCUGUAACCCUAGAGACCUAACUUGACUAGAAACUGACUGCUUCCUUCCCGACCCUAUCAUUGAAGGAGCAUUAAAACUAAUUUAAUUCAUAAUUUAUAUAUCUGUAUCACAGUGUACAGGUCCAUUUAUUUAAGGGGAGAAAUACCCAUUUCCAGUUUCACCACUAUAAACAGCUGAUUUAUAAUUAGACCAGCAGACAGUUUACUGGGAAUCUGUUUCCCUACGAGCUGGAGUUUGAUAUCUGGGUAUUUUCAACAAAUCUCUACUAUAGCCAAAUGAUAGAAAAGCUCAGGUUCUGCUCCCUUGACUGAAAUUUAAAUGUCCUGUACUGGGGUCCUUCCUAUAACUAACGGUAGAUGUCAGAUGGUAUAUCUUUCCUCUAAACCAGAGUAGACCUCUUACAAUAAAGCUUCUGCCCAAGAAUAUCAUCUAAUCAUUCAUGUCUCUCUCACCCUCUUCUUAGUAGCAAUAAUUUCUAGAUGAAACAGAAAACCAGAGAAUGGUAACGCAUCAGUAUUAAUCCCCAGCACUUCCAAAAACUUGAAGAAGUGACAACACAAGAUGCAUGUCUGAAAAGAGAUUUAAGGAUCAGAGAAACAUAGCCCAUAAUAAUCAUCACAUCUUUCAAGAUGAAAGCAUUUUUUUGACUCUUGGGCCAGGACUGCAACCGAAUUUCAGGACCCAGCACUCCCUUACCCUCAGAAAGAUGGAGCUGUCAGCACCUCUGACAGGACUCUGCAUCUAAUACUCGGCUGACCUUGUGGCGUGCAGAGGAUUUACUACACACGAAUCUGUGGCUGUUUAACUGAAUUGAGAUGGGACACAGGAAUCUGGCCUACAGAUCUAUGGAAAUCACAGAUGCUCUCAGCUAUUGACCUACUUAGGGUACAGAUCCUCAGAACAGAUGAUUUAUUAUGACUAAACUCAGGAUAUAUCUAUAGUCUCAGAGUUUAUGUACCUAGAGCCUUUGAGGAUGCAACGUGUACCAAAUCCUAAGUACUUUUCACUCCUGUAGUUACUAUCAUUGCUUUGUUUUGUUUGAGUGGUUUUCUGUUCACCUGACUUAUCUCCUCUAUUAUAUUAAUAGAACCUUGGGAAUCGGUGGCAUAUUCCAAAAACACAAUAGACACUUACAUACUUCAGAAACUGUAAAUAAAAAUUCCUUACCUACUCUGUG